CCUAACCUGGGAGUGUCACCUUCGGCACACCAAACAGAGCUCUCAGGCCACACCCAUCUCAAGCCUCUAAGGCUCCAUCAAAAACAGACAGUCCACUUAAUCUAGAGUCAUAGUACAACAAGAAAAAGCACCACAGUGAAGAAACCAAAUAUUUCCAAUAUGCCAAAGAACAAAUGCAAAAACCGAGGUAAUAAAAACAAGGAAGUCACUGUGACGCCCCCAAAUGAAAAAGACACCCCAAUUCAAGAUUAUGAAGAUGAUGAGAGGGAAGAAAUACAAGAUACAGAUCUCAAAAAAAUUGAUAAGAACAUUAAGAAGUUCUCAAGAACAAAUUCUUGAACUACAGAAAUCUUUGAAGGACAAGAUAGAAAAUCUCUCUCGUGAAAAUGAAAUAUUAAGGAGGAAUCAAAAUGAAAUGAAACAACUAGUACAACAGGAAACUGUGAUAGUGACGAGAAAUCAUAAUGAAGUGAAGAAUUCAAUAGAGGAAAUGAAAAGCACACUAGAGAGCCUUAAAAACAGAAUGGGUGAAGCAGAAGAGAGAAUAUUGGACUUAGAAGACAGAGAACAGGAAAGGAUACAGUCAGACCAAAGAAAAGAAGAGGAAAUUAGAAAUCUAAAACAUAUUGUCGGGAAUCUUCAGGAUACUAUUAACUAACCCAACAUUCGGGUUCUAGGAGUUCCUGAAGGCAUGGAGAGAGAGAAAGGAUUAGAAGGCCUUUUUAGUGAGAUAUUAGCAGAAGAUUUCCCAGGUUUGGAGAAGGACAGAGAAAUCCUAGUACAGGAAGCUCAUAGAACCCCUAAUAAACACGACCAAAAGAGAUCCUCACCACGACACAUUGUAAUUAAACUCUCCACAGUGAAACAUAAAGAAAAGAUCCUAAAAUGUGCAAGAGAGAAACGUCAGAUUACUCUCAGAGAAUCUCUAAUCAGACUCACAGCUGACUUCUCAUCAGAAACCCUACAAGCUAGGAGGGAAUGGCAAGAUAUAGCCCAGGUACUAAGAGAGAAAAACUGCCAGCCCAGAAUAUUAUAUCCUGUAAAUCUGAUUUUUAAAAGCAUUUUAUGUUCAUGAUGAAUGAGUUAAUGCUUGAUGGAUCAGGAUGGAGGCCUGACUCAGUUAUGGUUUCAGAAGUUGGGACUUCUGAUAAGUGGUUUGUGUUAGGUUGUUAGGGUGGAGUCUGUAAUCCAACUAUGACAUCAUUGUGAGAAGAGACCACACAGAGGAAAGAUGAAGAGUGUGCCUCCUUUGUCUCUUUGCUUCCUGUUCCACAUCGUGGUCCAACAACCUCCAACUACUCUUCCCACCCCUACCAGAUGCCUGAUAAGUAGGACUGCCAUAUUUUGGACUGAAAAUUCUCAAUAUAAGUUUUGUGUGGACAUGUGUUCAAAUAAGUUGAGUAAAUACCAAGAGGCAUCAGUUUUGGAUUGAAUGAGCUAGGAACAUAUUCAAAAAGAGAAAAAUGAAGAACACAUUGAAAACAUUGUGUCAAGAAAAUCACAUAAAUAAUGUGUGUCUAGAAAGAAGGUGUGAUCAGUUUGUCAAAAGCUGCUGCUCAUCCUGCUUGAGCACUGAGAUUUCAGGAGAGGAGAAACACAGUCAUCACUGGUAAUCUUCAAAAAGUGCCAUUUAGGACAGUUCGGAUUAUCAACUAGAAUGGAUUUGCCUGGUGUGCUUGAUGGAAAAAUAAAGAAGCUAGAGAGAUGAAAGCAUAUAAAGAAGAGAUCAACAUUUGCAACAAAGUGGAUUCAGCAAGAAGUGUAAUCAUAUAAGAGCGAAAGAAGGGCAUGCAGGAAUGGAAGAAAAUAAAAUGUAAUUAAGUUUCAUGAAUUAAACAUCC